rnacentral:rRNA from 1 species
AUUGAACGCUGGCGGCAGGCCUAACACAUGCAAGUCGAACGGUAACAGGAAGCAGCUUGCUGCUUCGCUGACGAGUGGCGGACGGGUGAGUAAUGUCUGGGAAGCUGCCUGAUGGAGGGGAUAACUACUGGAAACGGUAGCUAAUACCGCAUAAUGUCGCAAGACCAAAAGAGGGGGACCUUCGGGCCUCUUGCCAUCGGAUGUGCCCAGAUGGGAUUAGCUUGUUGGUGGGUAACGGCUCACCAAGGCGACGAUCCCUGGCUGGUCUGAGAGGAUGACCAGCCACACUGGAACUGAGACACGGUCCAGACUCCUACGGGAGGCAGCAGUGGGGAAUAUUGCACAAUGGGCGCAAGCCUGAUGCAGCCAUGCCGCGUGUAUGAAGAAGGCC